AUUUUAUCAGGACCAACAAUAUGUAAAGCACGAGAAGGAAGUGGCUGUCCGUUGGAGCUUUUCUCAUCAGGGUCCACCAUAUUAAGUUGCUUUAUUAUCUCCCUCUUUGGAUCUGCUAUUAUCGGAAUAGGCUUCAACGUCCUUGAUCCACUCGUUGUGAGAGGAAAUAUCGUCACAAGAUAGACCCAAAAGCUUCGCCCCUUUUUGUGUGAAAUUAUCAGCAUAAGCAGCCAUCAUUCCUAAUUCUGUUGUACAUACUGGUGUAAAGUCACCUGCUUCAAAAAAACACAUAUAUUGUUAUUGUAGUUAAAAAACUAUGUUAGAUCAUGAAUUUAUUUGAAAUAAGCUACCAAAGAAAACGGAACCUGGAUGAGAGAAGAGAAUGGUCCAGGUAUCAGCAAAAUAAUCAUGGAGCUUGAAUUUUCCCUUCGUAGUCUCCACUUCAAGGUUUGGCACCUUAUCUCCUAUUGUUAUUCCUGGCAUUUUUCUUACAAAUACUUUAUUCAAUUCAAGCUAAGUAUAUCAAACUUGUAUUUCUUCUAUACAUAUAUACCACAACUUUUUUUUUAAUUUCUUGUGAAUGCUACAGUAAUUAUUAAUUAAUUGUAUCAUGCCAUUGCAAGGUGCAUGUAGAGAACGUGGCACUUGUACUGGCUUGCUGGCUCCUUUGCAUGCCCUUGAGUUCCGCAUUUUCUCAUUUUAAUUUUUCUACCAUUCUAGUCUCUUCCUACCAUUCUAGUCUCUUCUGUAGGAACGAGUCAAGUAGAUUCGAGUUUUACUGUGUAUUUGGGUGUCCAAUUGAUUUUUAAUCGGACAUAUUCCCCCACAAGCCUAAUGGCUAAAAAUAUGACAUAGGUCCUGUUCGACAAAACUAGCGGUAGAGGACAGCUAGCUUUAGGGCGUGUCUGGCGGUAGCCUUUGAGAUAGCGGGUACCGUUUUGACUUUGUCAAGACACUACUUGUAAAAUUUAUAAGUGUUUGGUAAAGAUCGAUUUAGGUAGCGGUUAGCGGUUGAGGUAGCGGUUGGGUAGCUUUUGUCAAACGUUAAAAUUAGUAGCGUUUAAGGUAGCGGGUAGCGUUUGACAAAUUUAUAAUAAAGUAGUAAAUAAUAUUCUUGCUUUUAUUUUUAUUUUAUAAUAUCAACCGCUACUUUUAACGAACACUCAUAUUAAUUACCCGCUAAACCGCUACCCGCUACUCAACCGUUAACCGCUACCCGCUACCGCUAAUUUUGCCUAACAGGGCCUUAGCGGUUGAGGUAGCGGGUAGCUGUCAGUGUAGCGGUUCAUAAUAUGAGUGUUUGGCAAAACUAGCGAUUGAAAUUGUAAAACACAAUAAACAUUAUUAAUUUAAGUCAAAUAAUAACCAUUUGACGAAUUAAUAAUCAUACUCAUACGGCAUUUUAAUAAUAAAAUAAUAACAAUAAAAAUUUUAAAAUGGUAUAUUUAUACACAUAUAGAAUACUACAUUGCUCCGGGGAAAAAAAAGACGACAUUCUUCUUCUUACAAUAAAUAAUGUUAAUUUAAAGUAUCUUAUUACAAUGACUAAAUGCGUCGCCUUUCAUUCCUUGCAUUCCAUAAAGCAACAGCUAUAUCGUCAUGAAUAGCCUUCAUUUCGUUACAACUCUCCUCUACAUUUCCACCACGUGAAGUAACACGGACAUCAGAUAGCUCAAAUGAAGGUAUGAAAUUAGGAUACUCUUCUAACACUCGAAAAAGGGGAUCAUCUGGGGAAUUUAUUCUAAUAUAAUUAUAGAGUGCAAAUGUAGCAACUAUAAUAUAUAUUUGUUUCUCGAUGCUAUAUUGUGGCUAGGGGUGUGCAGAAUGUGCCCGGGUCCUGAAUCCGGUUCGGAAUCGGACCUGAAUUGUCCGGACCGGUCCGAAUUGGUGGAUUUAGGACCGAACACUGGACCUCAAAAAUCAAGCAUUCCGGAUUUAGGACAGGACCAGACAAAAUCCUGAAUUUUCCGGUCUAAUCCUGAAACCCGGAUAUAUGCAUAUAAAUGCUUUAUUUUUAUUUUUUCUGGGCAAAAUACUUUAAACUCCCACUACUACAUUUCUAGUCAGAUGCGACGCCUGAAAUUGUUGCAUAAGGCAUGAAAACCCGUCGCAUUAGACCUAACGCGACGCCAAAUGACCCUUGCAUCCGGUGGCGUUGCAUUAGGCCUAAUGCAACGUUCAAUGACCUUAUGCAACGGAAAAUUAAUACCGUUGCAUUAGGUUUCCAUCUAAUGCGACGGUUUGUAGAUGGAGUGUCGCAUUAGUUCUUUAGCUAAUGCGACGGGUAAUUAAGGUAAUGCGACGGUUUAUUUAGCUAAUGCGACAGCUCAUUUUAGCUAAUACGAUGGGUAAUUUUAGCUAAUGCGGCGGGUACCUACAAUAGCUUAAUGAAAUAAUACAACGCCUUUUCUCUAAUGCAACGGUAAAUUUUUGUACACAAAAAAAAACUUUUGUGCCCCUAAUGCAACGGUUCAUGAUAAUAAUAAUAUAAUAUAUAAUAAUAAUAAUAAUAAUAAUAAUAAUAAUAAUAAUAAUAAUAAUAGCAAAAGAUUUUCAUUGACUUGAAAAGUAAUAUUACAAUAUUAGUACCCAUAGGAUGCCUACAUUACAAAAUAGUUGUUCACUAAUUAAUUUAGUGUUUUUAAUGACAAAAGUACAUAAAAUUAAAAUCCAUAGAAACAAAUUCAAUAUUACUAGCUAGGAAUUACAAAACGACCCAAAACAAAUAAGAGCCUCCACCGUCUUAUUGCUAGAUUAACAUUUCUUCUCCAUUUAGCGCACCAUGCUCCUGCAAGUUUAAAUCACGAAUGAGCACAAGUUAAAGAUGGUACAAGUUUAAAUCCAAAAGGUGUUGAAUGUGGGGCAAUUAGAAGAUCUUCUAAUGUUUAAAUCCUAAAAACGGAGCAAUAUUGUAAUAAUAAGGGUGAAGCUGACAGAAAGCAAAGAACUCUUUUCCUGUUAAUUAGUGAACCAAAACUUCCUGGUUAAUAAAAAAGGAUGGAAAAACUCAGAGAAUCAAGAAAAAAAGGGUUCUUAAUAACAACAAUAUUAGUUGUUAUGAUCAUAACACCAAAAACAAAGGCAAUACAUAUAAAUCCAGUGCAUGAACUAUUGCCACCUAGCUACAAGACAAACAGCAAUUGAGGGAGUUAUACUUGACAGUAACUCUAGGAAUUAAGUAGAGAAAAGAUAGAGAGAAAAGGCAUUGUGUAUUCUGAAGAGUGUAAGUGAGAGUUAUACUUAAAUAAGGAUUGAUGAUAAUUGACCGGGGAAGAAAAUACGUUGCCCAUGCAAUACGCCAUUGAAGACCCCGGGUACAAUCUGCAAGGAGUUCAUAGGUACCAAUAUGUGCAUUCAUUUCGAAAAUCUCAUAAAAUUUACCCAUCUGAUAUAACAGUUGCUCAUAAAUCAACCAUUUUUAUAAAUUUGCAUUCUGUGAGAGCACAUAUGAUACACGUUACUCAUCUCCUAGUAAACUAAAAGUUGUUGAAACACAAAUUUGAAGUCGUAUUAUGCAUUAUAGAGAUGAUCAAGAAUAGAGAUAAAAUGAACUAAUCAGAUCAAGCAAAAUAGACCAAACAACAUAUCAGCAAAUGUCAACCAAAAUAAACUAUUGCCAAACCAUAACAUUAAGCAGCAAAGCAGUGGGUCAUGCACCAUAGUCCUCUAGCUAACUCAAUAAUUCUAACUUUCCUCUAGCCUAACUGAUCAGAUGCAAUGCACCAUACCAACUCUCCCAUGCUGAAAACGUAUGCAAGAAGAAAGACAAAGAAGCCAACAGUACAAGACAAGGAGACAACAGCAACAACAUUGGCAGAAGGAGGGAACAACCUCACUUAGUGGAAACGGCCCUAUGGCUCAUUAAUGCAUUUUGUCUCUGUCACUUAGCUUUAAUUGUUUUUGUCUCAUAUUAGAAUUCUAUCUAUAAAAAGAGAAAGGGAGAGAAGAAGGAAAUCAUCUUGGAAAUCAUUGAUAUUGUGGGAGAGUGAGACUUCUCGAAAGUCUCUAAAUUGUAACAAGCUUUAAGCUUUUAUUCCUAAAUAUUAUAACUACCUUUCUCUCUUA